rnacentral:lncRNA from 1 species
GAUGACCUUAGCGCUCAGCCCAGAAGGACCUACAGAUCCCGGCCGGAAACGGGAGGUCCCUAGCCGUUGAAAACGAUCCAUUUUCUCUACCCAUUUGUCCUACAGCUGUCAGGGUAACGCUGUCUCCUUGGCGGCCCAGAGAAGAAUGCGUUAAAAAUUCUUAGCCAAGGAGUCUCCCCCGACCCCAAAUAUAUCAUUGCAUGGCUUUCCUGACGCCAACCACUGGUCCCUAACCUCAGCCACCUUCUCUCGUUGAAAUAUGCACAUCGCUCUUCAAUAAUUCAGACACCUGGGAAACCGGACAACUAUAAUUUUUCCAAACAUCCCAGCAUCCGGGUUGUCAUUCAUCAUGCGUCUGUUUUAUUUGAGAUGGGGGCUUUGUGUGCCUUAGCUGCCCUAUUCUGUCCCAUUUGCAUGAGGCUAUUUAAUGGACAUUUAUUUCAGCUUUGAAGGUCUGCUUUUAAAAUCUAAAUCCAGAAAGGAAGGCGGGAGGGAGCGCCGCCUCCCUUGUGACUCAGGGUAGAUUUGCCUUUGGGACCCAUUGCUUUGAGGAGAAGGGCCCUGAGGGUCCUGAUUACGCAUGAAUUUUGAUUCUGAGAUGGGGCGCGUUAUGAAGCUGGUUCGGCUUCCACAAGCUCAGGGUUUCCUUUGUAACUAACCGUGCUCCAGUCGGUACUCGUGUAGGACACGAGUAAUUGUGUCCCAAAUGCUUACAUAAAUCACUGAUGGGUGAAAUCACUCGCGCUCACUUAAAGUGUAAUGUGAUUAAAAGAUUAUGAGGUUGAAGC